GGUAAAAGAUCGGGUAGAGCAGAAACGGCUGAUAUUUCACAGAAGAUUGUUUCUGAGACAGUUGAAAAGCCCGAAGUCAGGGUGGCACCACAAGUAUAUGCAAUGGAAGCUCAGGAAGAGCCAAACCCAGACACUGAUGAGGCAAUACAAGGAAGUGAAGAAACAAGGAGGUAGUAACUCCCCGAUUACUUAAGUCAGGAACUGGAGAUCCCGAUCGUGAGCCCAGUAGACCAAAGACUGGGUGGGUCCAUCUGACAGUUCUGCUCAGUGUCUGUGUCACCUCGUCACCUGCAGUGCAUUGGUAGGACACUAGAUGCCAUUUUGUCAUCUUGUAAUUAACUUUUUAUUUUCUCAUAUGUAUUUAGGAUUUAUGUAAUGUAUUUUGAGGUUCAUGUAAAUAAUAAAGAUUUAUGGUUA